rnacentral:lncRNA from 1 species
AGAGAAGGAAGUGGUUUCUCUCAAAGAUAAAGUGUUUAUCUCUGAGCAGAUAAACACAAGCCCAUUCUGUACUAGAUCAGGAGAGAGAAUGUUGGUUCAAAUCUAAGAUGCAGAGCAGAUUGGUUAAGGACUAAGUUAGUUGAUCAUUUCCUAAGACAAGACUAGGACUAGCAGCAAAGGUGGUAUGGAUACUAUCAAGAUGAGAGGAGAAGUGGACAAACUGAAAACUAGUUCAAGGUCUAACUUUACAAACAUGACCUACCCACUGUGGCAUCCCUCUUACGCUUAGCCUGAUGUGCUUUGGUAGAGGAAGCACCACCCAUAUGAGUCUGCAUUUGCCAAAGGUGCCUUAGAAGAAAGGGAAAGAACUGGAACAGGUCAGCAAGUCCCAUGCUAAUGGGACUCAUGUCAAGCUGGGUCAAGUUGGGGUGUAGAUCUCUCAUUGAGAGCUAAAGCAUGGCGCUAAAAUAAGGGAAAGCAGAGACAUAGAAAACAAUCAAAUCUGAAGAAACCAGAGGAUGGAGAUGGAGGCUGUAGAACAAGGUGGGAAUGGAAGCUGGUGGAGAACAAUAAGGUCCUGCUGAGGAUCCCUGGUGCCCAGUAGGGAACACCGUGAGGAGGAGGAUUAAGAAAGGCACCCUUUCCACUGAUUUGCAUCGCCAUUUGUACAUGGAGUUUGGCUACAGCAAAAUCCGUUGCUAUCUCACCAGCUACAAGAAGCAAAGAACGAAUUGCAAUUCAUUUUUGUGCUCUAGGACCCGGUUGAGGUUUAUCAUCAAGUUAUGUCAAUGCUAUCUCCAAAGUACAUUAUGAGCCCAUCUAUUUCUGUGCAUCCCCACCAGCAGACCCGAGUCCAAGCCUCAUCAUCCAUUGCCCAAACUACAUCAACAGUGCCUUCCUCUUCACGCCUCGUCCACCCUACAAUUUAUCUUCAUAAGAUGUGUAUGCUUUUCUUAAGAUGUGCAUUGGAUGUUGUCCCUUUGUUUUUAAGAGUUUUCCAGCUGGAUUUGAUGUCACUUUCCCAUGCUGUCACUAAUCCCCAGCCACAACAGAAUGGGUCACACUCUUCUGCACUUUGGACCCUUUGCCCAUGCCAGAGUUAUCCGCUGACCCUCUUCCCAUGGCUGUCACCUCUUCAAAAAGGUCCACUGAACCUGAAGUAGAUGUCCUCCCUCUAUUAAGAUUCAACGUAUCAAAUCCACCCUUUCAAAGUCUUAGACUAGCACCUGGCAUACAUCUCCUUGCUGACAAAAAAGGAAAUGACUUCUGAAGACAUGAAAAAAAAAAAACAGGGUGAAGACAAAUUGGGUUAGAAUAACCCAUGACCUAGAUCAUUAGACUUUGACUAAUGAAGAACUGCCUUUUAACAGAGUUAAAAUUGACAGCACCAUGGCCUCACACCCAACAGGGUUUGAGGCUGGACCCUUCUUUGACAAACGAUGCCCUGAUUUACGCGCAAAAAUACCCAUCACAGCAUUAUUUAUAAUAUUCCCUGUCCAAUGCUGGGGACCUAGUUCAAUUAGCUAUAGAACAGCCAUUUGAUGAAAUAUUAUAAAGCUAUUAAAAUAAUAGGGGCAAAGAAAUUUUAAAACAUGGGGAAAGCCUUGAUGUUGUAAUAUUAAAUGAAUGAAGGAAUUCUAUGAAUGAAACUCAUUAAAACAUGUCUUCACAGUAGCUGCAUUGAUUGCACAUUUACUAUCGUUCAGGCAUCUUUUCCAAAUGUGAUACAGGAGGGCAAGCUUGGAAACAAGACGGGAACCUCUUGAUCCAUGGCACAAUGCUGUCGACCCCUAAGUUCUUCCUCUUUAUCUAAACCCAGGUUUGGAAGUACACCAAAAUAUUAAUACUAUACAUCAUUGCAAGCUUUCCUUCUUUGAUCCUCUGUAUUUUGUAAAUGUUCCAACACCUUUUAAAAUACACUUUUGUUCUCCUUUAAAGUCUCCCUGAGAGCUUCUAGAAGGCAGCUGCUGUGGGCUCACAUCAUCCAUCCUUCCCCCCGCAAAUGUGUAAAUAAAGAAACACCUCUGUGCCUUUAAAUUAUAACAGGCUAAACUUUCCCCUGUAAGUUGAUACUCAGACCAGAAGUCUGUGGGUAGGAAGAGUGUUGUGUUUUUUUGUUGCAGCUUCUUUUGGCUGAUAAACUAGCACUUAAGUGUUUCCCUUUUCCAAACCCCCAAAUGACAAGUAUCUUUGUGGUAAAGUGAUGGCCCAACUGUCAUGGCCAUCAUAAACGGUGCUGAGGACACUUAUUUUUAGUUUACUGUCUAAGGAAGCACUAGGCUUGCUAACCAGAGACCUUGGGGCCCAAACCCCUAUGAUCCCCAGAACGGAGCUUUUAAAGAGAAAGAAAGGUGAGGCAACCAAAGCUCUUCGGCGGAGCGCAAGCUCCUUUUCUCCAGAUGGGCCAGAAAGACAAGGCAGAGAUCUUACUUUUGGUGAGAAGACUGUAAUCCUCAUUUUACAUAGUAUAAUUUUACCAAAGAUGCUAUGAAACAGAAACAUGUUGAUUCUAUUUAAAUAAAUGUAAACUCUGGCAGCCUUGGGGAGCCAUUACAGCAAUGAGGCUGAUGACAAGAAACAGAAACACUUCUGCAGACAUCUGUUCCUGUGGUCUCCUCAGCAACCUUUUCUCCCAUCAGCUAACACAGCUUCAUUAUUUCACUGAGGAGCUGCUAUUCUCUUUGGCAUUCACUUUUAAAGCAAGGUGCCUCACCUUCCCUUGGUCAAGUAAUUGGCAUGUUACCAAGUGCAUUAAUUCGUUUUCAUGCUGCUGAUAAAAGCAUACCAGAGACUGGGAAGAAAAAGAGGCUUAA